GGUCAGGUGGUGUACUGGUAACAUCUUUGCUAUAUAUGUAGAAGACCCUGGGUUCAAUUUCCAGUCUGCCCA